CCGCACGCGUGCUCUCCUGACUUAUACAGCGAGUAUCACCAGCUCCGUGAGGCUGCCGGUAAUCUUCAAUAUAAGUCGUGCUGGGGAUAGAUCUUUGGAAUUUUUGAUCUUGAACGAGGAAUGCCUAGUAAGCGCAGUUCAUCCGACUGCGUUGAUUAACUCCCUGCCCUUUGUACACACCGCCCGU
rnacentral:rRNA from 1 species